CGGGCAUAGCAAUAUGUCAGCGGCAGACGGGUGAGUAACGCGUGGGAACGUACCUUUUGGUUCGGAACAACUGAGGGAAACUUCAGCUAAUACCGGAUAAGCCCUUACGGGGAAAGAUUUAUCGCCGAAAGAUCGGCCCGCGUCUGAUUAGCUAGUUGGUGAGGUAAUGGCUCACCAAGGCGACGAUCAGUAGCUGGUCUGAGAGGAUGAUCAGCCACAUUGGGACUGAGACACGGCCCAAACUCCUACGGGAGGCAGCAGUGGGGAAUAUUGGACAAUGGGCGCAAGCCUGAUCCAGCCAUGCCGCGUGAGUGAUGAAGGCCCUAGGGUUGUAAAGCUCUUUUGUGCGGGAAGAUAAUGACGGUACCGCAAGAAUAAGCCCCGGCUAACUUCGUGCCAGCAGCCGCGGUAAUACGAAGGGGGCUAGCGUUGCUCGGAAUCACUGGGCGUAAAGGGUGCGUAGGCGGGUCUUUAAGUCAGGGGUGAAAUCCUGGAGCUCAACUCCAGAACUGCCUUUGAUACUGAAGAUCUUGAGUUCGGGAGAGGUGAGUGGAACUGCGAGUGUAGAGGUGAAAUUCGUAGAUAUUCGCAAGAACACCAGUGGCGAAGGCGGCUCACUGGCCCGAUACUGACGCUGAGGCACGAAAGCAUGUGGAGCAAACAGGAUUAGAUACCCUGGUAGUCCACGCUGUAAACGAUGAAUGCCAGCCGUUAGUGGGUUUACUCACUAGUGGCGCAGCUAACGCUUUAAGCAUUCCGCCUGGGGAGUACGGUCGCAAGAUUAAAACUCUAUGCGAAUUGACGGGGGCCCGCACAAGCGGUGGAGCAUGUGGUUUAAUUCGACGCAACGCGCAGAACCUUACCAGCCCUUGACAUCCCGGUCGCGGACUCCAGAGACGGAGUUCUUCAGUUCGGCUGGACCGGAGACAGGUGCUGCAU
rnacentral:rRNA from 1 species